rnacentral:rRNA from 4 species
ACGACUCUCGGCAACGGAUAUCUCGGCUCUCGCAUCGAUGAAGAACGUAGCGAAAUGCGAUACUUGGUGUGAAUUGCAGAAUCCCGUGAACCAUCGAGUCUUUGAACGCAAGUUGCGCCCGAGGCCACCCGGCCGAGGGCACGCCUGCCUGGGCGUCACGCACCGCGCU